AGUGAACGCUGGCGGUAGGCCUAACACAUGCAAGUCGAACGGCAGCACAGUAAGAGCUUGCUCUUACGGGUGGCGAGUGGCGGACGGGUGAGGAAUACAUCGGAAUCUACUUUUUCGUGGGGGAUAACGUAGGGAAACUUACGCUAAUACCGCAUACGACCUACGGGUGAAAGCAGGGGAUCUUCGGACCUUGCGCGAUUGAAUGAGCCGAUGUCGGAUUAGCUAGUUGGCGGGGUAAAGGCCCACCAAGGCGACAAUCCGUAGCUGGUCUGAGAGGAUGAUCAGCCACACUGGAACUGAGACGCGGUCCAGACUCCUACGGGAGGCAGCAGUGGGGAAUAUUGGACAAUGGGCGCAAGCCUGAUCCAGCCAUACCGCGUGGGUGAAGAAGGCCUUCGGGUUGUAAAGCCCUUUUGUUGGGAAAGAAAAGCAGCAGGUUAAUACCCCGCUGUUCUGACGGUACCCAAAGAAUAAGCACCGGCUAACUUCGUG
rnacentral:rRNA from 1 species